rnacentral:lncRNA from 1 species
CGGUAAAGUCAUUUAUUGAUAUUUACGAUAAAGUACUAGUACUACCAACUUAAUUUGAACACUUUUAGGUGCGUCUUGUAGUGACGGACCAGUUCCUGAUCUUUGUUGGAUGGGACAGGGUCACCACUCCCUUGUAUAUCAGGAUUUGUGUAUUUUAAUGGGAUUAAUGGAUAUAUACCGUGCGUCUUGUAGUGACGAACCAGUUCCUGAUCUUUGUUGGACGGGACAGGGUCACCACUCCCUUGUAUAUCAGGAUUAGUGUAUUUUAAAGUCAUUUAUUGAUAUUUACGGUAAAGUACAAGUACUAACAACUUAAUUUGAACACUUUUACGUGCGUCUUGUUGUCACGGAUGCUUGUGUUAAAAUUGGCUACAGGCAAGGACAACCUCAGCCUGACAUGUGUUAAUCAUUUGAUUGUUGACUGUUGAGUUGGGGGACUACUGUUUGUUAUCCAUUGUACCUGUUGAAUGGACACAAUGCAGUAUCAACUCGGUUGCAAUGGAAGUUGAUGUUCUCGUUUUCCUGGUGUAUGGCAGCUUAAGUGAAGCAUGGAUUUCAACAAAUAAGCGAGUAGGAAACUUGCCAUUAUUGAUUCUACCAGAUAGCACUGCUAUUUUUCCAUUACUAAAUGCAGUUUUGUUUUUAUUGAUAA